rnacentral:tRNA from 1 species
AGGACGAUUAGCUCAGCGGGAGAGCGCUUCCCUGACACGGAAGAGGUCACUGGUUCAAUCCCAGUA